CCUCUUCUUCUUCUUCUUCUUCGCCGCCCCUCGCCGCUUCACCCACCACCACAUCGCCGCCCCACGCCCUACUCACCACCAUCUCUUGGCCACUGAACCACCACCACCCACCGCUCGUCCGACGAACCGUCUCGCCGUUGAGCCCGACAAGCUAUCGCGCCGCCCCUCGCCGCCGUGAGUCGCCGCCGCCGUCCCCAAGCCACCGUCACCACCUCUUGCCGCCGCUCGCUCGGCCGUUCGGGCCGUCGUUGCUCCGAACCGCCACCGCUAGAACCGAGCUCUUCCCCCCUUAGCCGUGGGUUGAGCCGCGACUGCCGCCGUCUUCGCCGCGCCGUCCGUGCCACCGUUGGUGCCGUGAGACUCUUGUCUUCGUCGCCGGACCUCCCUCGACACCGCCGCUGGAUGCGUCACCCCUCGCUCGCCUCACCGCUCAGCCGCUUGCCGUCGACACCGCUCGUCCCCCAGGUGGAGGCUACUCGCUCGCCAGCCCCCCGACGCAGCUUGCUACUCGCCCAGCCGCCCAAUCAACCUUAACUCCACACCCCUUCGCCUCCGCCCCAACGAAGCUGCUCUGCUACGGGCUGCGAUCGGCGGCGAAGCUGAAGGAGGAGAAGCAAGAGGCGGCGGCGGCGAGCUCUUCUUCGUCUCGGAGGAAAAAGGAUUUCACAAGAGAUUGCUGAUAUUGAAAACGAUACUGGGUUUAAGUCGAGAGUUCCAGCCCAGAAUUACCCUGAAACACCAGAUUUCUGGACAUCGUGUGAGAGAGCUGACGCAGUACGACAAAGCAUGAUGAUUUUGUACAUUGACUACCGAACCAGAAAAGUCAAAUAAACACAACAGUGGGCCACCACAUUUUUCAUAUGUAUCUGUGGCUAGCACUAACCUAGUAUGAUCCCAAAUCCCCAUCCACCAAUAUGGCAGAAUUCAGCCCCGCUCGAUAGGAGCAAAUGACGGCAGACAACUAGUAUAGUCACUCUGAUCUGGCCAAAUGUGUUAGCUGGGAUCAAGUGUCCUUACUGGCAGCUACACUAAAUGAAAAGUUUUCCCUUACUCUUUACAUUUUCCUCCUUUUUAGGGAAGUUUUACCUUUCUUCUGUCAACAUAAUGACUUGGGAAACUCUUCUUUGACCCUAAAGACCUAUAUACACUGCACACUUGGUUAUACAUAGCAUUCUCAAGCACGAUUUUUCUUAAUCCACAGGCACAACUGAUCUGUCACAUGAUAGAGCAAGCAUUAGGGUUCUCAUCACUGAAAAUGUCAGGGGUGUAUGAGUGAUUGAAUUGCUGAUAUGAAGCACCAUGAUUUAUGUAACCUCGGUAAGCUUCCAUGCCGUAAUUCUGAUCAUGGAGUUCUCCAUCAUUCCACUGUGUGAUAGGAUGAGGUAGUGUCCGGUGGCUAUCUCUUUGGUUCACAUUCUUGGUGAGAGGAAUUUGUUCUUCUUUCUUGCCAUGAUCUCCAUCACCAGCAAGACCACCCAUAUUAACCUUGUCUUUAAUCUCUUUACCAGUUCCUUUUCUUGUGGGAACUACUUCAACAUUCCUCUUGAUCUUGUCUUCUAGGUAAGAUAUGAGUUCUUUCAUGUCCACUACCCCUGUCACUGAUACUUGAUCCUUGCUUGCAUCUAUAGCCAGCGAUUCAACUCCUGCCAUUCGCAAUAAAAACUCGUCAUAUAGUGAACAUUAGUAAUGUCUGCAGAAAAUGGUUAGUGGCAUGAUAAGAGAGAGGCCACAGGCUACUGAGUUCUAGCACUAGAAAAUUAAUAGAGUAGAUGCACUAUGUUCAUCAUAAAAUUUCUCUGUUUGUCGUCUUUUAACAUUUCAUUUGUUUUUAUGCUUGUAGGGUACCUUAAAUCUGACAUUUGUAUCAAUAUUUUGAUCAAUAUGAAUGAUGAAUCACACAAUAUUGACCCAUUUGAUAAGAAGUCAUGUUGGUUGAUGAAUAAUUGAGUCAAGAAUGAAAAAGUCCCUUACCUACUUGGGAGAAGUAGAAGUCUUCAAGAAUCAUAUGAUGAUUAUCUAUUGGUUUUUCAACAUACACAAAUCAUUUAUAUAUAUGUUUUACUCACAUAACCUAAUUAUCUGACAUUGUUUCCUUCUAGAUUUCUUGGCAGUAACCUGGGACAAUCAUGUGCAUAUGGUCAGUUCAGUAAAAUUAGCCCCAAAUGUCGAGCAUUGACUGAAGAUUGUUUAUCUUACCUUUGUACUUUAAAAUGCACCUUUGUAUUUUCCGUAUACAGCCAUCACAAUGCAGUCUGGUCCUGAGCACCAGGGUGCUUGAUCUCUGGAGCCAUCCACCCAUGCACAGUUAAACUUUUCCCAUUCACUAAAUAGUAACAAUGAUAAUAGCAGUACUUUUCUCAUGAGAAAAUUCAUAGAAUCUCUGAAAAUAAGUAGAAGAGUGACAAUGAUCAAACUAGUCCUUAAAAAGGCUAUGUUUGAUUUCAUCUGCCCGUAAGAAUAUUACCUCUGUCUCAUUCUUCUUCUGAUUGUAAGGGCUCUCUUUUGCAUACAAUAUUGCGUUGCUGCCACCCUGGGGAGAGGAGACCACAUACGUGUUAGUCUUUUCGUGCCCCUUGCAUUCUUUUAAGUUCCUUUUGUCUCCUGCGAUGACUGGUGAUUUUCUUGGAAUACUGUUGACGUAGAUGUCCCUGGUGCCUGGUGGAAGCUCAAAGAAAUUUGGUGAGUUUUGGUUUUUCAUUGAAAGAUAUAGGCUACUAUACAAUAUUCACCAUAUGUUUGUGCAAUUCCUUUCCUGUUAAUUCCUACCAUGGUUGCUUUUUAGCUGGGCAGGAGAGAUUAGCUGGUCACAUUUCUCGCUUUUGUGCUCUUGCUGCUCCUGAACCCUCUCUUUUAACUUUACUGGGUCCCAUUCCAAAGCCUUAACUCUUGCUGUUUUCUCCGCAACAUUUUCGACCUCAACAUCUUUUGUGCCUGAUGAACAGAGCCAAGAAAGAGGAGGAAAGUCGGUAUGUGAUCUUGAGAGUCCAUGUUUUCAUGGGAAUUGCAAAAUGGGUCAUGUCAUGAAAAUAUGGGUAUUGUUUGGUGGGAGUUAUAGUCUUCACUUGGCUGAAACAAACAGCUUUUUCUAAAGAACUUCAGUCCAAGACUUCAGUUGUAGCCUCGACUUAGUGGUACUAUGGAUUCUUGCAAUUGUUAUUAUUGUGACUUCCAUUAAAAAAAAAUUAACAUAUUCACUCAUAUACGUCAUACUUUGUAGUAUAAUAUGGGCUUAUUAAUUGUAGUUUCACUUAAAUCCGAAAACAGUUCAACUCAAAAGCUUUUCUGGGGGACAGUUUGGAGGAGCAACUUCUCUGCUUUGGCCUUUAUAGGUUCAAGACUGGACAUUUUUUUAUAAUAUUAACUUGGAGCUACUACCUUUCUAGAUAACUGAGGAUUCAGUACACCAAAAGAAAGAAAGAGCAGAAAAACUUAGGCAGUUCCUUGUAAUUGUUAUCAUGGCUGCUUUUAGGCUGGGGGAGGGGAGAGUUGCUGGUCAUACUUCUUAUGCUUUUUUUCUGGGUCCUCUCUUCUGCUUUUUCUUUGUACAUAGUCCCAACAACUGCUGAUUUCUUGGAGAUAUCGUCAACAUUCAAGUCCUUGGUACCCGGUGGCUCAAGUCUGAGAGCAGCCAUAAAAUAAGGUCUUAAGACUUCGGUUUGAGAGUUGGGUUUACAUGGGACUUCCACCUCAACUAAUGAAUGUUUUAGAAGACCUCGCAUAGCUUGUAUUUUACUCUUUUGGCCAAUGAGUUUGUCCGCUAAAUUCUUGUUUCUUCAGUGUAAAUUAGGCCCUAAGCAGGUUCUUUGUCAUUCUCAGAAGAACAAGAUGACAAAAUAUAUGCACAGGAAUAGUUUUCUUUUGUCUUGCACAUAUAUUGUAGGCAGUCUUCUUUUCUUGCUAUUACACUCAUCCGGGUCUUCUCGCAGUAAGACUUUUUAGCUUAUGGACUGACCUCUUUUUAAGUAAGUCUUUAAUAAAAUUGUGGAUGUUUGCAA